rnacentral:rRNA from 1 species
CAAUAGCGUAUAUUAAAGCUGUUGCGGUUAAAAAGCUCGUAGUUGGAUUUCUGUCAAGGACAACUGGUCCGCCCCUCGGGUGAGCACAUAGUUUGGUCUUGGCAUCUUGUUGGAAACUGUUGCUGCACUUGGUUGUGUGGCGCAGUGUCCAGCACUUUCACUUUGAGGAAAUUGGAGUGUUUCAAGCAGGCACAUGCCUUUGGACACAGUAGCAUGGAAUAAUUAGAUUGGGCUUUUGCUCCAACUUGUCGGUUUCUGGAGCUGAGGUGAGAAUUAAUGGGGAUUGUUGGGGGCAUCCGAAUUUAGCCGUCAGAGGUGAAAGUCUUGGAUCUGCUAAAGACGGACAACUGCGAAAGCGUUUGCCCAGGAUGUUUUCAUUGA